CUACGCACUCCUACGGGAGGCAGCAGUGGGGAAUAUUGCACAAUGGGCGCAAGCCUGAUGCAGCCAUGCCGCGUGUAUGAAGAAGGCCUUCGGGUUGUAAAGUACUUUCAGCAGUGAGGAAGUGGGUAUGUUAAUAGCAUACUCAUUUGACGUUAGCUGCAGAAGAAGCACCGGCUAACUCCGUGCCAGCAGCCGCGGUAAUACGGAGGGUGCGAGCGUUAAUCGGAAUUACUGGGCGUAAAGCGCAUGCAGGUGGUUUGUUAAGUCAGAUGUGAAAGCCCGGGGCUCAACCUCGGAAUUGCAUUUGAAACUGGCAAACUAGAGUACUGUAGAGGGGGUAGAAUUUCAGGUGUAGCGGUGAAAUGCGUAGAGAUCUGAAGGAAUACCGGUGGCGAAGGCGGCCCCCUGGACAGAUACUGACACUCAGAUGCGAAAGCGUGGGGAGCAAACAGGAUUAGAUACCCUGGUAG
rnacentral:rRNA from 1 species